CGCACUCGCUUCUCUCCAUCCGUCUCUCUCUCUAUUUCUCUGUCUGUCUCUCAAUCACACGCUUCUCCCUCCCCUGUCAUAGACCAUUGUACUCUUCUCUCUCUGAAUCGCUUCUCAAAUAUCAACACCGAAAAGAAAUUCUCUCCCUCCCCUCUCUCAGAUGAACUUGACGCUGUAAAGAAAUUCAGAUUUCUCUGAUCAAUCAAGUAUGUCGAUUUCUUUUUUUGUUUGGAAUUAGUUG
rnacentral:lncRNA from 1 species